CCUACGGGAGGCAGCAGUGGGGGAUAUUGCACAAUGGGGGAAACCCUGAUGCAGCGACGCCGCGUGUGGGAAGACGGUCUUCUGGAUUGUAAACCACUGUCACCAGGGACGAAAAUGACGGUACCGGGGGAGGAAGCGCCGGCUAACUACGUGACAGCAGCCGCGGUAAUACGUAGGGAGCAAGCGUUGUCCGGAAUGACUGGGCGUAACGAGUGCGUGGGCGGGGUAAGAAGGCAGAUGUGACAUCCUGUAGCUGAACUACAGAACUGCAUUUGAAACUGUUACUCUGGAGUGUGGGAGUGGUCGGUGGAAUUCUUGGUGUAGGGGUCACCUCCGUAGCGCUCACGCGGAAUACUCAUUGCGACGGCGACCUACUGGACCGUACCUGCCGUUGUGGCUCG
rnacentral:rRNA from 1 species